GACGUAGGGCGCAAGCGUUGUCCGGAAUUAUUGGGCGUAAAGAGCUCGUAGGCGGCUUGUUGCGUCGACUGUGAAAAACCACGACUCAACCGUGGGACUGCAGUCGAUACGGGCAGGCUAGAGUUCGGUAGGGGAGACUGGAAUUCCUGGUGUAGCGGUGAAAUGCGCAGAUAUCAGGAGGAACACCGGUGGCGAAGGCGGGUCUCUGGGCCGAUACUGACGCUGAGGAGCGAAAGCGUGGGGAGCGAACAGG
rnacentral:rRNA from 1 species